rnacentral:rRNA from 1 species
UACGGGAGGCAGCAGUGGGGAAUAUUGCACAACGGGCGCAAGCCUGAUGCAGCCAUGCCGCGUGUAUGAAGAAGGCCUUCGGGUUGUAAAGUACUUUCAGUCGUGAGGAAGGUGUUAAGGUUAAUAACCUUAGCAAUUGACGUUAGCGACAGAAGAAGCACCGGCUAACUCCGUGCCAGCAGCCGCGGUAAUACGGAGAGUGCGAGCGUUAAUCGGAAUUACUGGGCGUAAGGGCACGCAGGCGGUUAAUAAGUUGGAUGUGAAUCCCCGGGCUUAACCUGGGAAUGGCAUUCAAGACUGGUUAGCUAGAGUCUUGUAGAGGGGGUAGAAUUCCAUGUGUAGCGGUGAAAUGCGUAGAGAUGUGGAGGAAUACCGGGUGGCGAAGGCGGCCCCUGGGACAAAGACUGACGCUCAUGUGCGAAAGCGUGGGGAGCAAACAGGAUUAGAUACC